ACGGCUCAGUAACACGUGGACAACCUACCCUGAGGUCGGGGAUAAACCCGGGAAACUGGGUAUAAUACCCGAUAGAUCUAGAUCGCUGGAAUGCUUUUAGGUCUAAAGUUCCGACGCCUCAGGAUGGGUCUGCGGCCUAUCAGGGUAGUAGUGGGUGUAAAGUACCUACUAGCCUACGACGGGUACGGGUUGUGAGAGCAAGAGCCCGGAGAUGGAUUCUGAGACACGAAUCCAGGCCCUACGGGGUGCAGCAGGCGCGAAACCUUUACAAUGCUGGCAACAGCGAURAGGGGACCUCGAGUGCUACGAUACAAUCGUGGCUGUCUAGUUGCCUAAAAAGCAAUUGAUAGCAAGGGCCGGGCAAGACCGGUGCCAGCCGCCGCGGUAACACCGGCGGCUCGAGUGGUAACCGCUAUUAUUGGGUCUAAAGGGUCUGUAGCCGGCUUAGUUAGUCUCUUGAGAAAUCUGGCCGCUCAACGGUCAGGCGUUCAGGGGAUACUGCUAAAGCUCGAGACCGGGAGAGGUGAGAGGUACUUCAGGGGUAGGGGUGAAAUCUUGUAAUCCUUGAAGGACCACCAGUGGCGAAGGCGUCUCACCAGAACGGAUCUGACGGCAAGGGACGAAAGCUAGGGGCACGAACCGGAUUAGAUACCCGGGUAGUCCUAGCCGUAAACGAUACUCGCUAGGUGUCGGCCACGGUGCGACCGUGGUCGGUGCCGUAGGGAAGCCGUGAAGCGAGCCACCUGGGAAGUACGGCCGCAAGGCUGAAACUUAAAGGAAUUGGCGGGGGAGCAC
rnacentral:rRNA from 1 species